UACGUAGGCAGCAAGCGUUGUUCGGAAUUACUGGGCGUAAAGAGUGUGUAGGCGGUGCUCCAAGUCUGGUGUGAAAUCUCCCGGCUUAACUGGGAGGGUGCAUUAGAAACUGGAAUGCUAGAGGAUGGGAGAGAUAAGCGGAAUUCCUGGUGUAGCGGUGAAAUGCGUAGAUAUCAGGAGGAACACCUGUGGUGUAGACAGCUUACUGGACCAUUUCUGACGCUGAGACACGAAAGCGUGGGUAGCAAACCGG
rnacentral:rRNA from 1 species